rnacentral:rRNA from 1 species
GACGAACGCUGGCGGCGUGCCUAAUACAUGCAAGUCGAACGAACCGCGACUAGGUGCUUGCACUUGGUCAAGGUGAGUGGCGAACGGGUGAGUACACGUGGGUAACCUACCUCAUAGUGGGGGAUAACAGUCGGAAACGACUGCUAAUACCGCAUAGGACAUAGGAUCACAUGAUCCAGUGAGGAAAGGUGGCGCAAGCUAUCGCUAAGAGAUGGACCCGCGGUGCAUUAGCUAGUUGGUAGGGUAAAGGCCUACCAAGGCGAUGAUGCAUAGCCGACCUGAGAGGGUGAUCGGCCACAUUGGGACUGCUACACGGCCCAAACUCCUACGGGAGGCAGCAGUAGGGAAUCUUCCGCAAUGGACGCAAGUCUGACGGAGCAACGCCGCGUGAGUGAAGAAGGUCUUCGGAUCGUAAAGCUCUGUUGUUAGAGAAGAACAGCGCAUAGAGUAC